rnacentral:rRNA from 1 species
UACGGGGGGGGCAAGCGUUGUUCGGAAUUACUGGGCGUAAAGGGCGCGUAGGCGGCCUGCUAAGUCGGACGUGAAAUCCCUCGGCUCAACCGAGGAACUGCGUCCGAUACUGGUGGGCUUGAAUCCGGGAGAGGGAUGUGGAAUUCCAGGUGUAGCGGUGAAAUGCGUAGAUAUCUGGAGGAACACCGGUGGCGAAGGCGGCAUCCUGGACCGGUAUUGACGCUGAGGCGCG